rnacentral:rRNA from 1 species
AACCAGACUCCUACGGGAGGCAGCAGUGGGGGAUAUUGCACAAUGGGGGGAACCCUGAUGCAGCGACGCCGCGUGGGUGAAGGAGUGCUUCGGCAUGUAAAGCCCUAUCGGCAGGGAAGAAGCAAGACGGUACCUGACUAAGAAGCCCCGGCUAACUACGUGCCAGCAGCCGCGGGAAUACGUAGGGGGCGAGCGUUAUCCGGAUUCACUGGGUGUAAAGGGAGCGUAGACGGCCAUGCAAGCCAGGGGUGAAAGCCCGGGGCCCAACCCCGGGACUGCCCUUGGAACUGCAUGGCUGGAGUGCGGGAGGGGCAGGCGGAAUUCCUGGUGUAGCGGUGAAAUGCGUAGAUAUUAGGAAGAACACCAGUGGCGAAGGCGGCUUUCUGGACUGAAACUGACGCUGAGGCACGAAAGCGUGGGGAGCGAACAGGAUUAGAUACCCGCGUAU